UUUGGCUUCUCGUCGUGUCUGUCGGACGGCUCUCUCCCUGGAGUCGGGUUGCUUGAGAGUGCAGCCCUAAGCGGGUGGUAAACUCCACCUAAGGCUAAAUACUUCCACGAGACCGAUAGCAAACAAGUACCGUGAGGGAAAGUUGCAAAGAACUUUGAAGAGAGAGUUCAAGAGUACGUGAAACCGCUCGGAGGCAAACGGGUGGGCCCUCGAAGGUCGAACGGGGGGAUUCAACCCGUCCGCACGAACACGUCGCCAGCCACGGAUGGCGGGGUCGGAGCAAGGGGUCUCGUGCCUCUCUGUUCCUCCCGUCGAACGGAUCCGUCAAAGACCGGUCCGUGGCGAAAGCUCGAAGGCGGCAGCGGGCGGGCGCACUUCCCCCUCAGUAGGACGCCGCGACCGGUCGGGUCGCACGAAAAAUGCGGUCAUGCAGCAGGACAACGGCAGGUAUCCGUUGCCGGCGUUCUCUUUCCUCUCAGGGUUGGAAACGUCGGUCGGAGUUACAGCCCGUUUUGCUUCGGCCGCUACCCGACCGUGGUCUCGCGCGCCCGCGCUCGGCGCGCGGUUCGUCCGCUCGGCAGGCCGAACCCUCAGGUACCGAUCGCCCCUGGCUUGGCGGUCGGCUGUCCUGUUGGCGGUUCGCCGGUGGUUGGGCGUAGCCGCUCCCGUGGUGGCGCUUGCGGUCAGCGGCGAGUAGGUCGGUCACCCACCCGACCCGUCUUGAAACACGGACCAAGGAGUCUAACAUGUGCGCGAGUCACAGGGUUAACUCGCUAAAAAGCACACAACCCUAAGGCGUAAUGAAAGUGAAGGUCAGACCUAGCACUGACCGAGGCAGGAUCCGACCGGGUGAGCGAAGCUCUUCUUCCUUUCGCGGGAUUCGUCC
rnacentral:rRNA from 1 species